rnacentral:rRNA from 1 species
GCAAGCGUUGUCCGGAAUUAUUGGGCGUAAAGAGCUCGUAGGCGGUCUGUUGCGUCCGCUGUGAAAACUCGGGGCUUAACCCCGAGCCUGCAGUGGAUACGGGCAGACUAGAGGUAGGUAGGGGAGAAUGGAAUUCCCGGUGUAGCGGUGAAAUGCGCAGAUAUCGGGAGGAACACCGGUGGCGAAGGCAGGUCUCUGGGCUGACACUGACGCUCAUGCACGAAAGCGUGGGGAGCAAACAGG